rnacentral:rRNA from 2 species
UUAAGCGACUAAGCGUACACGGUGGAUGCCCUGGCAGUCAGAGGCGAUGAAGGACGUGCUAAUCUGCGAAAAGCGUCGGUAAGGUGAUAUGAACCGUUACAGCCGGCGAUGUCCGAAUGGGGAAACCCAGUGUGAUUCGUCACACUAUCGUUAACUGAAUACAUAGGUUAACGAGGCGAACCGGGGGAACUGAAACAUCUAAGUACCCCGAGGAAAAGAAAUCAACCGAGAUUCCCCCAGUAGCGGCGAGCGAACGGGGAGCAGCCCAGAGUCUGAAUCAGCUUGUGUGUUAGUGGAACGGUCUGGAAAGUCCGACGGUACAGGGUGAUAGUCCCGUACACCAAAAUGCACAGGCUGUGAACUCGAAGAGUAGGGCGGGACACGUGGUAUCCUGUCUGAAUAUGGGGGGACCAUCCUCCAAGGCUAAAUACUCCUGACUGACCGAUAGUGAACCAGUACCGUGAGGGAAAGGCGAAAAGAACCCCGGCGAGGGGAGUGAAAAAGAACCUGAAACCGUGUACGUACAAGCAGUGGGAGCACCUUCGGGUGUGACUGCGUACCUUUUGUAUAAUGGGUCAGCGACUUAUAUUCUGUAGCAAGGUUAACCGUAUAGGGGAGCCGCAGGGAAACCGAGUCUUAACUGGGCGUUAAGUUGCAGGGUAUAGACCCGAAACCCGGUGAUCUAGCCAUGGGCAGGUUGAAGGUUGGGUAACACUAACUGGAGGACCGAACCGACUAAUGUUGAAAAAUUAGCGGAUGACUUGUGGCUGGGGGUGAAAGGCCAAUCAAACCGGGAGAUAGCUGGUUCUCCCCGAAAGCUAUUUAGGUAGCGCCUCGUGAACUCAUCUUCGGGGGUAGAGCACUGUUUCGGCUAGGGGGUCAUCCCGACUUACCAACCCGAUGCAAACUACGAAUACCGAAGAAUGUUAUCACGGGAGACACACGGCGGGUGCUAACGUCCGUCGUGAAGAGGGAAACAACCCAGACCGCCAGCUAAGGUCCCAAAGUCACAGUUAAGUGGGAAACGAUGUGGGAAGGCACAGACAGCCAGGAUGUUGGCUUAGAAGCAGCCAUCAUUUAAAGAAAGCGUAAUAGCUCACUGGUCGAGUCGGCCUGCGCGGAAGAUGUAACGGGGCUAAACUGUGCACCGAAGCUGCGGCAGCGACACUAUGUGUUGUUGGGUAGGGGAGCGUUCUGUAAGCCUGCGAAGGUGGCCUGUGAGGGUUGCUGGAGGUAUCAGAAGUGCGAAUGCUGACAUAAGUAACGAUAAUGCGGGUGAAAAGCCCGCACGCCGGAAGACCAAGGGUUCCUGUCCAACGUUAAUCGGGGCAGGGUGAGUCGACCCCUAAGGCGAGGCCGAAAGGCGUAGUCGAUGGGAAACAGGUUAAUAUUCCUGUACUUGGUGUUACUGCGAAGGGGGGACGGAGAAGGCUAUGUUAGCCGGGCGACGGUUGUCCCGGUUUAAGCAUGUAGGCGGAGGUUCCAGGUAAAUCCGGUACCUUUUUAACGCUGAGGUGUGAUGACGAGGCACUACGGUGCUGAAGUAACAAAUGCCCUGCUUCCAGGAAAAGCCUCUAAGCAUCAGGUAACAUUAAAUCGUACCCCAAACCGACACAGGUGGUCAGGUAGAGAAUACCAAGGCGCUUGAGAGAACUCGGGUGAAGGAACUAGGCAAAAUGGUGCCGUAACUUCGGGAGAAGGCACGCUGAUAUGUAGGUGAAGCCCCUGCGGGUGGAGCUGAAAUCAGUCGAAGAUACCAGCUGGCUGCAACUGUUUAUUAAAAACACAGCACUGUGCAAACACGAAAGUGGACGUAUACGGUGUGACGCCUGCCCGGUGCCGGAAGGUUAAUUGAUGGGGUUAUCCGUAAGGAGAAGCUCUUGAUCGAAGCCCCGGUAAACGGCGGCCGUAACUAUAACGGUCCUAAGGUAGCGAAAUUCCUUGUCGGGUAAGUUCCGACCUGCACGAAUGGCGUAAUGAUGGCCAGGCUGUCUCCACCCGAGACUCAGUGAAAUUGAACUCGCUGUGAAGAUGCAGUGUACCCGCGGCAAGACGGAAAGACCCCGUGAACCUUUACUAUAGCUUGACACUGAACAUUGAGCCUUGAUGUGUAGGAUAGGUGGGAGGCUUUGAAGCGUGGACGCCAGUCUGCGUGGAGCCAACCUUGAAAUACCACCCUUUAAUGUUUGAUGUUCUAACGUUGGCCCCUUAUCGGGGUUGCGGACAGUGUCUGGUGGGUAGUUUGACUGGGGCGGUCUCCUCCCAAAGAGUAACGGAGGAGCACGAAGGUUAGCUAAUCCUGGUCGGACAUCAGGAGGUUAGUGCAAUGGCAUAAGCUAGCUUGACUGCGAGCGUGACGGCGCGAGCAGGUGCGAAAGCAGGUCAUAGUGAUCCGGUGGUUCUGAAUGGAAGGGCCAUCGCUCAACGGAUAAAAGGUACUCCGGGGAUAACAGGCUGAUACCGCCCAAGAGUUCAUAUCGACGGCGGUGUUUGGCACCUCGAUGUCGGCUCAUCACAUCCUGGGGCUGAAGUAGGUCCCAAGGGUAUGGCUGUUCGCCAUUUAAAGUGGUACGCGAGCUGGGUUUAGAACGUCGUGAGACAGUUCGGUCCCUAUCUGCCGUGGGCGCUGGAGAAUUGAGGGGGGCUGCUCCUAGUACGAGAGGACCGGAGUGGACGCAUCACUGGUGUUCGGGUUGUCAUGCCAAUGGCAUUGCCCGGUAGCUAAAUGCGGAAGAGAUAAGUGCUGAAAGCAUCUAAGCACGAAACUUGCCCCGAGAUGAGUUCUCCCUGAGACUUAAAGUCUCCUGAAGGAACGUUAAAGACGAUGACGUUGAUAGGUCGGGUGUGUAAGCGUAGCGAUACGUUGAGCUAACCGAUACUAAUGAACCGUGAGGCUUAACCUU